rnacentral:rRNA from 1 species
CCUACGGGUGGCAGCAGUGGGGGAUAUUGCACAAUGGGGGAAACCCUGAUGCAGCGACGCCGCGUGGGCGAAGAAGUAUCUUGGUAUUUUAAGCCCCUUUAGUAGGGGAGAAGAGAUGACGGUACCUGAGUCAGAAGCACCGGCUAAAGACGUGCCAGCAGCCGCGGUAAUACGGAUGGUGCUGGCGUUAUCCGGAUUUACUGGGUGUAAGGGGAGCGCAGGCGGCACGGCAAGCCUGAUGUGAAAGCCCGCGGCCCAACCGCGGGACUGCAGUGGGAACUACCGGGCUGGAGUGCCGGAGAGGUAGGCGGAAUUCCUAGUGUAGCGGUGAAAUGCGUAGAUAUUAGGAGGAACACCAGUGGCGAAGGCGGCCUACUGGACGGUGACUGACGCUGAGGCUCGAAAGCGUGGGGAGCAAACAGGAUUAGAUACCCGGGUAGUC